CUACGUAGGGAGCGAGCGUUGUCCGGAAUUACUGGGUGUAAAGGGAGCGUAGGCGGGAGUGCAAGUCAGAUGUGAAAUACAUGGGCUCAACCCAUGGGCUGCAUUUGAAACUGCAUUUCUUGAGUGAAGUAGAGGUAAGCGGAAUUCCUGGUGUAGCGGUGAAAUGCGUAGAUAUCAGGAGGAACACCGGUGGCGAAGGCGGCUUACUGGGCUUUUACUGACGCUGAGGCUCGAAAGCGUGGGGAGCAAACAGGAUUAGAUACCCUGGUAGUCCACGCUGUAAACGAUGAUUACUAGGUGUGGGGGGACUGACCCCUUCCGUGCCGCAGUUAACACAAUAAGUAAUCCACCUGGGGAGUACGGCCGCAAGGUUGAAACUCAAAUGAAUUGACGGGG
rnacentral:rRNA from 1 species